UACGGGGGGAGCAAGCGUUGUUCGGAUUUACUGGGCGUAAAGGGCUCGUAGGCGGCCAACUAAGUCAGACGUGAAAUCCCUCGGCUUAACCGGGGAACUGCAUCUGAUACUGGAUGGCUUGAGAUUGGGAGAGGGAUGCGGAAUUCCAGGUGUAGCGGUGAAAUGCGUAGAUAUCGGGAGGAACACCAGUGGCGAAGGCGGCUACCUGGCCUGUUCUUGACGCUGAGGCGCGAAAGCUAGGGGAGCAAACGGG
rnacentral:rRNA from 1 species